ACUAGCAGUAAGAGUUUGAUCAUGGCUCAGGACGAACGCUGGCGGCACGCCUAACACAUGCAAGUCGAACGGCCCCUUCGGGGGCAGUGGCGGACGGGUGAGUAACGCGUGGGAACCUGCCCCUUGGUUCGGGACAACCCGGGGAAACCCGGGCUAAUACCGGAUGCGCUCCUGGCUUUGGCUGGGAGGAAAGAUUGAUCGCCGAGGGAUGGGCCCGCGUCGGAUUAGGUUGUUGGUGAGGUAACGGCUCACCAAGCCUACGAUCCGUAGCUGGUCUGAGAGGAUGAUCAGCCACACUGGGACUGAGACACGGCCCAGACUCCUACGGGAGGCAGCAGUGGGGAAUCUUGGACAAUGGACGCAAGUCUGAUCCAGCGAUGCCGCGUGAGCGAUGAAGGCCUUAGGGUUGUAAAGCUCUUUCGCCCGCGACGAUGAUGACGGUAGCGGGAGAAGAAGCCCCGGCUAACUCCGUGCCAGCCGCCGCGGUAAUUC
rnacentral:rRNA from 1 species